UACGGGGGGGGCAAGCGUUGUUCGGAAUUACUGGGCGUAAAGCGCGCGCAGGCGGUCUUCCAAGUCAGUGGUGAAAGCCUGGAGCUCAACUCCAGAACUGCCAUUGAAACUGUUAGACUUGAGUACGAGAGAGGUGAGUGGAAUUCCCAGUGUAGAGGUGAAAUUCGUAGAUAUUGGGAAGAACACCAGUGGCGAAGGCGGCUCACUGGCUCGUAACUGACGCUCAGGCGCGACAGCGUGGGGAUCAAACAGG
rnacentral:rRNA from 1 species